CUCACACACAGAGGUGAAUUCCUUGUAGCCUACCAGAAGACACCAAAGUACAAGAGAGGCUCACAUCCAUUUACGUCUUUGAGACAGUCCAGGCCCACCUGCUCAGGUUUGGCACAGCUCACAGUGACUGGGUCCUCCUAUGCCAACCGUCACCCAAGAAAAUGAGCCAUUGACAUACUGAAAGGACAUGUGACGGUAUCAGCUCUUCAACUAAGAGUCCAUAGCUCCAGCUGUUUGUAAAUACUUCAGUGGAGAAAUACAAAGAGAAGAUGUGAAUGCCGGGAGAAGACUAUAACAUUAAAGCAGAAAUUGAUUUAAAAAUCCAACUUAGCAGAGGCAAUUACAAAUUCAAAGACGGAGCCCAAAUCAGAUCGGGCAGAGAAAAUGUGUUUGCUGCAAGGAAGGAAGUGAGCUUAUAUAACACCAAUUUCAAGUUGAUUUUGGACACAAACUUACCAAAUUUGACAACUGUCCUUGCAAAGCAAGAACAUUUUUACUUUGAG